AUUGAACGCUGGCGGCAGACUUAACACAUGCAAGUCGAGCGGAGAUGAGGUGCUUGCACCUUAUCUUAGCGGCGGACGGGUGAGUAAUGCUUAGGAAUCUGCCUAUUAGUGGGGGACAACAUUCCGAAAGGAAUGCUAAUACCGCAUACGUCCUACGGGAGAAAGCAGGGGAUCUUCGGACCUUGCGCUAAUAGAUGAGCCUAAGUCGGAUUAGCUAGUUGGUGGGGUAAAGGCCUACCAAGGCGACGAUCUGUAGCGGGUCUGAGAGGAUGACCGGGCACACUGGGACAGAGACACGGCCCAGACUCCAACGGGAGGCAGCAGUGGGGAAUAUUGGACAAUGGGGGGAACCCUGAUCCAGCAAUGCCGCGUGUGUGAAGAAGGCCUUAUGGUUGUAAAGCACUUUAAGCGAGGAGGAGGCUACUGAGACUAAUACUCUUGGAUAGUGGACGUUACUCGCAGAAUAAGCACCGGCUAACUCUGUGCCAGCAGCCGCCGUAACAC
rnacentral:rRNA from 1 species